rnacentral:rRNA from 1 species
UACGAAGGGUGCAAGCGUUACUCGGAAUUACUGGGCGUAAAGCGUGCGUAGGUGGUUCGUUAAGUCUGUCGUGAAAGCCCCGGGCUCAACCUGGGAAUGGCGAUGGAUACUGGCGGGCUAGAGUGCGGUAGAGGAGAGUGGAAUUCCCGGUGUAGCAGUGAAAUGCGUAGAGAUCGGGAGGAAUACCGAUGGCGAAGGCAGCCCCCUGGGCCAAUACUGACGCUCAUGCACGAAAGCGUGGGGAGCAAACAGG